UAAUGUGGAUUAGUGACGUGCUUGCAUCUGAAUGAGAUUUUAACACGAAGUGAGUGGCGCACGGGUGAGUAACACGUGGGUAACCUGCCCAGAAGCAGGGGAUAACACCUGGAAACAGAUGCUAAUACCGUAUAACAGAGAAAACCGCCUGGUUUUCUUUUAAAAGAUGGCUCUGCUAUCACUUCUGGAUGGACCCGCGGCGCAUUAGCUAGUUGGUGAGGUAACGGCUCACCAAGGCGAUGAUGCGUAGCCAACCUGAGAGGGUAAUCGGCCACAUUGUCGACUGAGACACGGCCCAGACUCCUACGGGAGGCAGCAGUAGGGAAUCUUCCACAAUGCGCGCGAGUCUGAUGUAGCAACGCCGCGUGAGUAAAGAAGGUUUUCGGCUCGAAGCGCUCUGUUGUAAAAGAAGAACGUGGGUGAGAGUAACUGUUCACCCAGUGACGAUAUUUAACCAGAAAGCCACGGCUAACUACGUGCCAGCAGCCGCGGUAAUACGUAGGUGGCAAGCGUUAUCCGGAUUUAUUGUGCGUAGAGCGAGCGCAGGCGGUCUUUUAUGUCUAGUGUGAAAGCCUUCGGCUCAACCGAAGAAGUGCAUUGGAAACUGCCAGACUUGAGUGCAGAAGAGGACAGUGGAACUCCAUGUGUAGCGGUGAAAUGCGUAGAUAUAUGGAAGAACAUCAGUGGCGAAGGCGGCUGUCUGGUCUGUAACUGACGCUGAGGCUCGAAAGCAUGUGUAGCGAACAGGAUUAGAUACCCUGGCAGUCCAUGCCGUAAACGAUGAUUACGAAGUGUUGGAGGGUUUCCGCCCUUCAGUGCUGCAGCUAACGCAUUAAGUUAUCCGCCUGGGGUAGAACGACCGCCAGGUUGAAACUUAAAAGAAUUGAAGGGGGGCCCGCACAAGCGGUGGAGCAUGUGGUUUAAUUCGAAGCUACGCGAAAAACCUUACCAGUCUUGACAUCUUCUGCCAACCUAAGAAAAUUAGGCCUUCCCCUUCGGGGUCUUAAUAACAAGGGGGUUCAUGGGUUGCCGACCGCUUCUUUCCUGAAGAAGGUGGGUUUAAGUUCCAGCAACGGGCCCCAUCCUUAAUUACUACUGCCCGGCCUUCCCGUGGGGCCUCUUGGGGGGAUUUCCGGUCCAAAAACGGGAAAAAGGGGGGGGAAGGGGGCAAAUCAUUAUGCCCCUUAUGACCUGGGCUACACACGUGCUACAAUGGAUGGUACAACGAGUUGCGAAACCGCGAGGUUUAGCUAAUCUCUUAAAACCAUUCUCAGUUCGGACUGUAGGCUGCAACUCGCCU
rnacentral:rRNA from 1 species